GAUGAACGCUGGCGGCGUGCUUAACACAUGCAAGUCGAACGGAAAGGCUCCUGCUUGCAGGGGUACUCGAGUGGCGAACGGGUGAGUAACACGUGGGUGAUCUGCCCAGCACUUCGGGAUAAGCCUGGGAAACUGGGUCUAAUACCGGAUAGGACGAUGUGUUGGAUGGCAUUGUUGAAAGAUUUUUCGGUGUGGGAUGAGCUCGCGGCCUAUCAGCUUGUUGGUGGGGUAAUGGCUUACCAAGGCGUCGACGGGUAGCCGGCCUGAGAGGGUGUACGGCCACAUUGGGACUGAGAUACGGCCCAGACUCCUACGGGAGGCAGCAGUGGGGAAUAUUGCACAAUGGGCGCAAGCCUGAUGCAGCAACGCCGCGUGGGGGAUGACGGCCUUCGGGUUGUAAACUCCUUUCGCUAGGGACGAAGCGCAAGUGACGGUACCUGGAGAAGAAGCACCGGCUAACUACGUG
rnacentral:rRNA from 1 species